AUAUCCUGCAGCUCCUGAGAAUCAUUCCACCUCCAACAAGAAGCCCCACCCCCUUUUUCCUGUCCGCCGUGUCAAUGAGCGUCAGAGAAAAACCAGAUCAGAUCCUGAUCCUCUGACUGUGCAGCAGCGGCUGUUCUCUUGGUAGACAACAGCAGGUUGAGGGUUUGAUUCCAGGAAGGCUCUCACUCUGACAUCAACAUUUCCACCUGCUGCCCCGCCCACCUGUGCUGCCCCGCCUCCAUCCCAGGUGGACUCUUUCUUCCUGGUUCAGUGUGUGUUGCAGCUGCGUUGACUCGGUGAAGGCUGGAAGAAGGUGUGUGGGAGCUGAUCCUCAAUCCAGCAGCAUGGAUCAGUGGGAGGGAGCCCCUCCCUCUACAAAAAGGAGAGAUGGUAACCAUGACAACCAGAGCAAAGCUCAGAGUCUUCACAGGAACCAACCUGGACCUGGACCUGGAUCUGGAUCUGGAUCUGGAUCUGAACCUGGAUCUGGACCUGGAUCUGGAUCUGGACCUGGACCUGGAUCUGGAUCCAGCUGUGUGUCCUUCAAGAGUGAUGUGUCAAAGGGAAAUAAUCCUGACUUUAAGGACAUCAGUUCAGCAGUA